rnacentral:tRNA from 1 species
GAAGGUAUAGCUCAAGCAGUAGAGCGCAUGCUUGGCAUGCAUGAGGACCUGGUUCAAUCCCCAGUGCCUCCC